UACAGAGGUCCCAAGCGUUGUUCGGAUUCACUGGGCGUAAAGGGUGCGUAGGUGGCUACUUUAAGUUUGAUGUGAAAGCUCCGGGCUCAACCCGGAAAUGGCAUUGAAGACUAUUGAGCUAGAGGGUUGGAGGGGAGACUGGAAUGCUUGGUGUAGCAGUGAAAUGCGUAGAUAUCAAGUGGAACACCAGUGGCGAAGGCGAGUCUCUGGACAUUUCCUGACGCUGAGGCACGAAAGCCAGGGGAGCAAACGGG
rnacentral:rRNA from 1 species